UCUGGCUCAGGGUCGGUUGACAUCCAUCGGACGAGGAGUGUAAGCCUCUGGACCGCAUCGGGCCGUCGUCUCCGCCCUACGGCGGACGUGCGGCCUCAGAGUUCACCGUGCGGAGUUUGCGACGACUCAACUCUUGGACCUUAACAGUCUGGGUUGGCCUGUCAGCUGGCCGUACGCGUCGGGCGCCGGCAAUUUCUGCCUACCCGCCCGCCAAACCUUAACACUU
rnacentral:misc_RNA from 1 species